rnacentral:ncRNA from 1 species
UUAAAAGCUGUGAAGAGAAGAGUAGCGAUUAUUUCAAGCUAAAGAGAGUCGGAUAAGGUGAAAGCCGAUGCUUGAAGCAGUCAGCGAAAAUCGUCUCGGAGCUGCCAGAGUGAACUUAUAGUAAUUCUGGCCGGGUUCCUUAUAAGGAAAUUGGCCCCCGUUAGAAAGGCCGGGUAUCGGGCAAGGCGCCCCGUACCUACUGAGAUUUAUACCGCAAGGUAUAAAUGAACUAGGGUGGUAACGCGAAGAUCUUUCGCCCCUUUU